GAUGAACGCUGGCGGCGUGCUUAACACAUGCAAGUCGAACGGAAAGGCCACAGCUUGCUGUGGUACUCGAGUGGCGAACGGGUGAGUAACACGUGGGUGAUCUGCCCUGUACUUCGGGAUAAGCUUGGGAAACUGGGUCUAAUACCGGAUAGGAAUCACAUGUGGGUGUGUGGUUGGAAAGCUUUUGCGGUAUGGGAUGAGCUCGCGGCCUAUCAGCUUGUUGGUGGGGUAAUGGCCUACCAAGGCGUCGACGGGUAGCCGGCCUGAGAGGGUGUACGGCCACAUUGGGACUGAGAUACGGCCCAGACUCCUACGGGAGGCAGCAGUGGGGAAUAUUGCACAAUGGGCGCAAGCCUGAUGCAGCGGCGCCGCGUGGGGGAUGACGGCCUUCGGGUUGUAAACUCCUUUCGUCAGGGACGAAGCGAAAGUGACGGUACCUGGAGAAGAAGCACCGGCUAACUACGUG
rnacentral:rRNA from 1 species